rnacentral:rRNA from 1 species
CUGGGACUGAGACACGGCCCAGACUCCUACGGGAGGCAGCAGUGGGGAAUAUUGGACAAUGGGCGGAAGCCUGAUCCAGCCAUGCCGCGUGUGUGAAGAAGGCCUUUUGGUUGUAAAGCACUUUAAGCGAGGAGGAGGCUCCUUUAGUUAAUACCUAAAGUGAGUGGACGUUACUCGCAGAAUAAGCACCGGCUAACUCUGUGCCAGCAGCCGCGGUAA